rnacentral:rRNA from 1 species
GACGAACGCUGGCGGCGUGCCUAAUACAUGCAAGUAGAACGCUGAGGGAGGAGCUUGCUUCUCUGGAUGAGUUGCGAACGGGUGAGUAACGCGUAGGUAACCUGCCUGGUAGCGGGGGAUAACUAUUGGAAACGAUAGCUAAUACCGCAUAAGAGUAGAUGUCGCAUGACAUUUGCUUAAAAGGUGCAAUUGCAUCACUACCAGAUGGACCUGCGUUGUAUUAGCUAGUUGGUGAGGUAACGGCUCACCAAGGCAACGAUACAUAGCCGUCCUGAGAGGGUGAUCGGCGACACUGGGACUGAUACACGGCCCAGACUCCUACGAGAGGCAGCAGUAGGGAAUCUGAGGCAAUGGACGGAAGUCUGACCGAGCAACGCCGCGUGAGUGAAGAAGGUUUUCGGAUCGUAACGCUCUGUUGUAAGAGAAGAACGAGUGUGAGAGUGGAAAGUUCACUCUGUGACGGUAUCUUACCAGAAAGGGACGGCUAACUACGUG